GUCCAGCUUAACGCUAGACAUAUACUAAAAUUGGAACGAUACAGAGAAGAUUAGCAUGGCCCCUGCGCAAGGAUGACACGCAAAAUCGUGAAGCGUUCCACAUUUUU
rfam:Anopheles farauti strain FAR1 unplaced genomic scaffold supercont2.11, whole genome shotgun sequence.